AAACUUAGGUUAAAUAAACCAAUUAAAUUUCAAAUUUAAUAAUGAGGAAAAUCAGUUUUUAGUUACCAAAAACAAAAUAUUUUUCUUUUUGCAUUAUGAGGUUUUAAAAAUUUUAAAUAAAAUAAGGUUCUAAGUUUUCAUGUCUUAGUUACUGAUGACGCCCGUUUUAAAGGGCCUAAUAAAGUACCUUAAGCAGGAUACCUGAUACUGAAACUUUGUAGUUAUGGUUUACCAAAUUCAUUUUGAAGAAAAGAUUUUCUAAAUAUCAAGAAGGGAUUAGCUUUCUUGAAGCAAAGCGCUAAGCACCUAUAUCUAUUAGAAUGUAACAAUUCAAGGUUAGACAAAAUUUAUAAUAUUAACCAUGUUAAAACUAUUUUAAAAAAUUAAAUCUUUAGUAAAAACAAGGUGAUUCUAAACAGUAAAAAUGUUUUACGUAUUUAUAUCGAUUAAAACUACCGUGCAACUUGGUUUAGGUUAAUCUGUUUGCCAAAUACUUAGGAGAAUAAUCUCUGAAGCUCUGCCCAGUGAUAAAAAUUAAACGGCUUGACAAGGUAGCACAAUCAAUUGUUCUUUAAUUGAGAACCAGAAUGAACGGCUUAAUUAAUUUAAAAACUCAUAUUAGUUUCGUUUAAACUAGUAUUCUGAGUGCAAAUACUCAGACACAAUUCAGGGACGAGAAGACCCUAAAAUCUUAUAUACUUGCUUAGGCCAUUAUAAAGGUUUAAUUGGUUGGGGCAACCUAAUAAAUGUAAAUACUUUUUGCGGCUCAAAAUUGAACUCGGUUACUUAUUACCAAGAUACUUUAGGGAUAACAGCAUUAAGGGCUUUGGAGUUCAUAUCUAUUGUGCCUGAAUGACCUCGAUGUUGAAUUAAGAAACCUUCUACGAGAAAAAGCCUAGAAGUUCAGUCUGUUCGACUGAUAUUUUCUUACAUGAUUUGAGUUAAGAUCGACGUAAGUCAGAUUGGUUUCUAUCUUGAAUUUUACUAUGUUUUAAUUAGUACGAAAGGAAUUUAAAAA
rnacentral:rRNA from 1 species